CACCAACAGUGGUUACAACUCAGGCUGAGGAAAGAAACACAACAUUGACAACAUGGCAAAAACUACAACAAGACGAGUCCUACUUUGCUUUUGCUCACUGACAGGAGGAAGAUGUUGGGAGCAACAGCUGCUCCUCAUCCAAACAGCUCUCUACUCAGCUUCAGAAUCCUUAAGAAUCCUUACUUUCCAACGGACCAGGAAUGCCUGACGACCAAGAGUUGCAAUGAUUUUGAGGCUAAGCUCAUUAAGCAGUUCAUCAAUGAGCUGAAGAGCAAAAAGGCAUUGAUGGAGAGCCAGAAUACGCCUGUCUCGUCUGUGGAUAACCAUAACAGAGAAGAGUGAGACCAGAGGGGAAAGCUUCAGAGUUAGUCGUUCAAUUUGCCAGAGAUAAGAUUAAUUUUCCUCUGCUACGAUAAUCUUUGCACUAUCACUAGCUGCUAACACUCAACAUUAAUGAGGAGAAUAACGAAGAAGCUUGAUAUCAUUGUGCUCAGCAGAACUGAAGUAUGGAAGAAAUGUUAAUGAAA